ensembl:misc_RNA Metazoa_SRP Metazoan signal recognition particle RNA
GCCAGGCAUGGUGGCUCGUGCCUGUAGUCCCAGCUACUUGGGAGGCUGACGCAGAAGAAUCGCUUGAACCCAGGAUGUGGCGGUUGCAGUGAGCCGAGAUAGUGCCACUGCACUCCAGCCUGGGUGACAGAGCGAGACUCCGUGUCCA